CUCCCAAGGUGCAAACCAGGGAUAUAUCCCCCAAAGGAUAUGAUGAUGCGAAGCGGUACUGCAAGGACCCCAGCCCCAGCAGCAGCAGCACCAGCAGCUACGCGCCCAGCAGCAGCAGCAACCUGAGCUGCGGCGGGGGCAGCAGCGCCAGCAGCACCUGCAGCAAGAGCAGCUUCGACUACACGCACGACAUGGAGGCGGCCCACAUGGCGGCCACCGCCAUCCUCAACCUGUCCACGCGCUGCCGCGAGAUGCCGCAGAACCUGAGCACCAAGCCGCAGGACCUGUGCGCCACGCGGAACCCUGACAUGGAGGUGGAUGAGAAUGGGACCCUGGACCUCAGCAUGAACAAGCAGAGGCCGCGGGACAGCUGCUGCCCCAUCCUGACCCCUCUGGAGCCCAUGUCCCCCCAGCAGCAGGCAGUGAUGAACAACCGGUGUUUCCAGCUGGGCGAGGGCGACUGCUGGGACUUGCCCGUAGACUACACCAAAAUGAAACCCCGGAGGAUAGACGAGGACGAGUCCAAAGACAUUACUCCAGAAGACUUGGACCCAUUCCAGGAGGCUCUAGAAGAAAGACGGUAUCCCGGGGAGGUGACCAUCCCAAGUCCCAAACCCAAGUACCCUCAGUGCAAGGAGAGCAAAAAGGAUUUAAUAACUCUGUCUGGCUGCCCCCUGGCGGACAAAAGCAUUCGAAGUAUGCUGGCCACCAGCUCCCAAGAACUCAAGUAAGAUUUAAUGACUAUAAUUCUCUUUUAAAAAUCCAUGCACUCAGUAGUUCACAAAAAAAAAGGAUAUGUCAUUUGCAAAGAAAAAUGUCUGUUAAAAAACAUGGCCUGUGCACCCCAGUGCCUUGAUGUAGACACGGGAUUGAGUCCUCGGAAUUUCAGCCACUUUUCCACACAACCCAUUCUGCCUUUUCCCCUGACAUACCUCCAGCUUGUUCAUAUCAUAUCCUUCCUAUCUGGAAUAUCCUAAAGCAUGGGUGUUUUCUCUUCAGAUAUGCAUGCAUAUGGAAGGGAAAUUUUACAGUUACUCAAAUUUUUAGAAAAUGACUGUAAAUAAUCAAAAUUUAAUUUUU
rnacentral:sRNA from 1 species